AUUGAACGCUGGCGGCAGGCCUAACACAUGCAAGUCGAACGAGUGGCGGACGGGUGAGUAAUGUCUGGGAAACUGCCUGAUGGAGGGGGAUAACUACUGGAAACGGUAGCUAAUACCGCAUACCAUCGGAUGUGCCCAGAUGGGAUUAGCUUGGAGGUGAGGUAAAGGCUCACCUAGGCGACGAUCCCUAGCUGGUCUGAGAGGAUGACCAGCCACAUGGGAAUUGAUACACGGUCCAGACGCCUACGCGAGGCAGUAGUGGGGAAUAUUGGACAGUGGGCGCAAGCCUGAUGCAGCCAUGCCGCGUGUAUGAAGAAUGCCUUCGGGUUGUAAAGUACUUUCAUCGGGGAGGCGUUACCCGCAGAAGAAGCACCGGCUAACUCCGGGCCAGCAGCCGCGGUAAUUC
rnacentral:rRNA from 1 species